rnacentral:rRNA from 1 species
GACAGAGGGUGCGAACGUUGUUCGGAAUUACUGGGCGUAAAGCGCGUGUAGGCGGCAGCGCAAGUCGGGCGUGAAAUCCCACGGCUCAACCGUGGAAGUGCACUCGAAACUGCGCAGCUAGAGUCCUGGAGAGGAAGGUGGAAUGCUUGGUGUAGAGGUGAAAUUCGUAGAUAUCAAGCGGAACACCGGUGGCGAAGGCGGAUCUCUGGGCCUUGCCUGACGCUGAGGCGCGAAAGCUAGGGGAGCGAACAGG